rnacentral:rRNA from 1 species
CAAUAGCGUAUAUUAAAGUUGUUGCAGUUAGAACGCUCGUAGUCGGAUUUCGGGGCGGGGCGACCGGUCUGCCGAUGGGUAUGCACUGGUCGGCGCGUCCUUCCUUCCGGAGACCGUUCCUACUCUUAACUGAGCGGGGGCGGGAGACGGAUCGUUUACUUUGAAAAAAUCAGAGUGUUUCAAGCAGGCAGCUCGCUCUUGCAUGGAUUAGCAUGGGAUAAUGAAAUAGGACUUUGGUGCUAUUUUGUUGGUUUCGAACACCGAAGUAAUGAUUAAAAGGGACAGUCAGGGGCACUCGUAUUCCGCCGAGAGAGGUGAAAUUCUCAGACCAGCGGAAGACGAACCACUGCGAAAGCAUUUGCCAGGGAUGUUUUCACUGA